AUUGAACGCUGGCGGCAUGCCUUACACAUGCAAGUCGAACGGCAGCACGGGUGCUUGCACCUGGUGGCGAGUGGCGAACGGGUGAGUAAUACAUCGGAACGUACCUUAUCGUGGGGGAUAACGCAGCGAAAGCUGUGCUAAUACCGCAUACGCCCUGAGGGGGAAAGCGGGGGAUCGCAAGACCUCGCGCGAUUAGAGCGGCCGAUGCCGGAUUAGCUAGUUGGUGGGGUAAGAGCCCACCAAGGCGACGAUCAGUAGCUGGUCUGAGAGGACGAUCAGCCACACUGGGACUGAGACACGGCCCAGACUCCUACGGGAGGCAGCAGUGGGGAAUUUUGGACAAUGGGGGCAACCCUGAUCCAGCAAUGCCGCGUGAGUGAAGAAGGCCUUCGGGUUGUAAAGCUCUUUUGUCAGGGAAGAAACACCGGCUCUAACACAGUCCGGGAAUGACGGUACCUGAAGAAUAAGCACCGGCUAACUACGUGCCAGCAGCCGCCGUAA
rnacentral:rRNA from 1 species